rnacentral:RNase_P_RNA from 1 species
UGGUCAUUCGCUGUUCGUGAACUAUCAUGAAUAGAGGAAAGUCCGGACAUCAUAGGGCAGGAUUCCCUGCGAAAGCGGGGGGGGCUUGUUUCAAGGCAAGUUCACGGCUAGUGCAACAGAAAACAUACCGCCUCAAUCUUGAGGCAAGGUUGAAAAGGUGGGGUAAGAGCCCACCGUCGCAAGGGCAACUGAGCGAGCAAUGUAAACCCAAUCCGAUGCAAGACGAAAUAGGGAACCGGGCGGCCCGCCUGAUGGUUUCGGGUACGUCGCAUCCUCAGAAAUGAGGAAUUCCUGCAUGCAAGAAUAGAUAAAUGAAUGACGGUUUGCUCAUGUGCAAACAACAGAAUCCGGCUUACAGCUUC